UGGGGAAUAUUGGACAAUGGGCGCAAGCCUGAUCCAGCCAUGCCGCGUGAGUGACGAAGGUCUUCGGAUUGUAAAGCUCUUUUGGCGGGGAAGCGGUACCCGCAGAAUAAGCCCCGGCUAACUUCGUGCCAGCAGCCGCGGUAAUACGAAGGGGGCUAGCGUUGUUCGGAAUCACUGGGCGUAAAGCGCACGUAGGCGGAUGUGUCAGUCAGGGGUGAAAUCCCGGAGCUCAACUUCGGAACUGCCUCUGAUACAGCACGUCUUGAGUCCGGAAGAGGUGGGUGGAAUUCCUAGUGUAGAGGUGAAAUUCGUAGAUAUUAGGAAGAACACCGGUGGCGAAGGCGGCCCACUGGUCCGGUACUGACGCUGAGGUGCGAAAGCGUGGGGAGCAAACAGGAUUAGAUACCCCAGUAGU
rnacentral:rRNA from 1 species